CCUUUUGCAGCAUGGAUGCAUCCGCAAUUUUAUCAUUCGUAACCCUUUCAAGAUGCUCGUCAUUAUUUUCUUUGUCAAAGGACUUUAACUCAUCACCAACAACACUAACUUCCUCUUCAGGUUGUUUUUCUUUGAUUCUUGUUCUGUGGAGCCUGAGCCAUUCGUCAUCAGACAACGGUGCUUGAGCAUCAGUACCUGAAUUUUUGGCGGUAUCACCUUCAGCAGCUUGCUCUGACUCUUCUUCAUGAAGCUCCGAAGAAGAUUUUUCCCUUCCGUCUAUUACUACACCGGAGUCAAGUGUGCUGUCAUGUUCAGUAGAUUUAAUUGAGUCACCUUCGUGUCGUUUUGCAGCAGGAAGAUCCUGAUAUUCAUCAUCAUCUUCAUCAGCUGGAAUAA